GACGAACGCUGGCGGCGUGCUUAACACAUGCCAGUCGAACGGAAAGGCCUGCUUUCCCUUGUGGAUUGCGGGUACUCGAGUGGCGAACGGGUGAGUAACACGUGAGUGAUCUGCCCCCAACUUGGGUAUAAGCCUGGGAAACUGGGUCUAAUUCCCGAUAGGACUGCAGGGUGGUGCCUGUGGUGGAAAACGAUUUUCUAGUGGUUGGGGAUGAGCUCGCGGCCUAUCAGCUUGUUGGUGGGGUAAUGGCCUACCAAGGCGGCGACGGGUAGCCGGCCUGAGAGGUUGGACGGCCACAUUGGGACAGAGAUACGGCUCAGACUACUACGGCAGGCAGCAGUGGGGAAUAUAGCACAAUGAGCGGAAGCCUGAUGCAGCGACGCCGCGUGGGGGAUGACGGCCUUCGGGUUGUAAACUCCUUUCGACCGCGAGGACGCCACCUGGUUGGAAGGGUGGUGACGGUAGUGGUAGAAGAAGCGCCGGCUAACUACGUG
rnacentral:rRNA from 1 species